AUGGCGGGCAGCAUGGUGGCCAGCUAAUACUUACUAUUUGAUGCCGAGUGGUGUGUGGGCCCUGUCUGCUCGCCCAGAAUUUGAAGCAAUUAUAUUGAAAAUAGAAGAGUCUUCCACAGCCUUCUAAGUCUGCGGCCUCACUGUCUGGUUGAGGGAGGCAGUGUCCGAAUGUUGGCAAUUGUGCAGGAGGAGGGUACGAGAUGGAAGCUGAGAUCUCUGUCCUGUCCAUUCCCCGCAAGACACUCAGGUGUGCAAAGGCUGCACCUUCGCAUUGCCAGAGAGGUGGCCAUCGAUGUCCUGUUUCCAUCUUGGAUGCCAAUGCUCCAGUUUAGUCUUUUGCUCUGAAAUGACUGAAUCAACUAGUUUGGACAUAUGGCAACAGGACAGGCCAUGGACUCCCAGGGAGGACCCUCGGCAGCAGAGACAAGCGUGAAUCCUAGCCUGAGGCUCAGCGGGGCUCUGAGCUCCUCCUGCUUUCUGGUCUCUCCUUCCUGGCCAGGUAAGUUCCCCAGAUGAGAGAGACCAGACUUGAGCUGUGCCAGUCACUUCUCUCUGGCUCAUUCCACGACCACACGGACCCUGGCUCUCCACUCGCUAAGGGCCACCUGGGCCACAAAGUGAAAAGGUAAGAGUGCCAACGGCUUUGCCAGCGGGGCUUCCUCAAAACAGCUCAAACUUCCCCUUCCUCCUCGCACUUCUGCCCUUGCU